rnacentral:tRNA from 1 species
GGAAGGUAGCUCAGUGGUAGAGUGCUUGCCUUGCAUGCAUGAGACCCUGGGUUCGAUUCCUCAGCUCCA